rnacentral:rRNA from 1 species
GUAAUACAUCGGAACGUGCCCAGUAGUGGGGGAUAACCCGGCGAAAGCCGGAUUAAUACCGCAUACGACCUACGGGUGAAAGCGGGGGACCGAAAGGCCUCGCGCUAUUGGAGCGGCCGAUGGCUGAUUAGCUAGUUGGCGGGGUAAAGGCCUACCAAGGCUACGAUCAGUCGCUGGUCUGAGAGGACGACCAGCCACACUGGGACUGAGACACGGCCCAGACUCCUACGGGAGGCAGCAGUGGGGAAUUUUGGACAAUGGGCGAAAGCCUGAUCCAGCAAUGCCGCGUGUGCGAAGAAGGCCUUCGGGUUGUAAAGCACUUUUGUCAGGAAAGAAAUUGUCUGGGCUAAUACCCCGGGCCGUUGACGGUACCUGAAGAAUAAGCACCGGCUAACUACGUGCCAGCAGCCGCGGUAAUACGUAGGGUGCGAGCGUUAAUCGGAAUUACUGGGCGUAAAGCGUGCGCAGGCGGUUUGUUAAGACAGUUGUGAAAUCCCCGGGCUCAACUUGGGAACUGCAAUUGUGACUGGCAGGCUAGAGUUUGGCAGAGGGGGGUGGAAUUCCUGGUGUAGCAGUGAAAUGCGUAGAUAUCAGGAGGAACACCGAUGGCGAAGGCAGCCCCCUGGGCCAUGACUGACGCUCAUGCA